rnacentral:rRNA from 1 species
GAUGAACGCUGGCGGCGUGCCUAAUACAUGCAAGUCGAGCGAACAGACGAGGAGCUUGCUCCUCUGACGUUAGCGGCGGACGGGUGAGUAACACGUGGAUAACCUACCUAUAAGACUGGGAUAACUUCGGGAAACCGGAGCUAAUACCGGAUAAUAUAUUGAACCGCAUGGUUCAAUAGUGAAAGACGGUUUUGCUGUCACUUAUAGAUGGAUUCGCGCCGCAUUAGCUAGUUGGUAAGGUAACGGCUUACCAAGGCGACGAUGCGUAGCCGACCUGAGAGGGUGAUCGGCCACACUGGAGCUGAGACACGGUCCAGACUCCUACGGGAGGCAGCAGUAGGGAAUCUUCCGCAAUGGGCGAAAGCCUGACGGAGCAACGCCGCGUGAGUGAUGAAGGUCUUCGGAUCGUAAAACUCUGUUAUUAGGGAAGAACAAAUGUGUAAGUAACUAUGCACGUCUUGACGGUACCUAAUCAGAAAGCCACGGCUAACUACGUG